rnacentral:misc_RNA from 1 species
GCAGGAGGUAUGUGUAGGGCACAUUUGAAAUCUUGGGAUGUGGCACCGUUUGUUAUCAUCAAUAAUUAUAAAUUUUUGAAGCUCGCUGCGGUAUACCAUAUUGUAACACAUUAAAAAGAAAAGUGAUCUAAUAUCAUACAAACUUUGCUAACUGGUUAAUAAUCACAAGUAAUAUUGUGAAAGACUUUACAUCAUUCUUCUAAUCCCAUAUUGGAAAGUGAUGUUCCUUGCAGUUAUCAUGCUCUUAAUCAUAUGCUCCAUAGGAUUAUAUUUGAUAGGUGACAGUAUUGCUUUGUUGGGCAGGUUUUACAACAGCAGACAGAAG